UGCCACAGACACCAUGUUCUAACAACUGAACUGUGGAACCUAGUGGGCCUCUGAUGUGUGGGCUGUGGGACUGGACCAGUGUGAGCCCACAACGGUCUGCAUGCCUGGAACUACCCAGAGGGAUCACUGUCAUUAGGAAACACAGCCACAAGUACUGCCACUCACCCCAGUUGCAGUGAAGGACAAAGCAUGUGGUCCAGGGAGGUGAAGAAGAGAGCGUCCUCUCCUUGAACUUCUAGGAUAAAAAUGGCCCGAUACCCACGCUUGCUGAGAUGCCAGAGACUGAAAUCACAAUAAUCUGGGUUGACUGAGUGAUCCUACCUUUUCUGAGAUAUUUACGGAGGAUUUUUACGGUGACCAGAGGCUUCUCUGAAGUUGACAUACAGGUUUUAUAUAUUUAUUCAUGAGAGAGAAAAGCAGAGACACAGGCAGAGGGAGAAGCAGGCUCUAUGCAGGGAGCCCGACGUGGGACGCCAUCCUGGGACUCCAGGAUCUCACCCUGAGCCAAAGGCAGGCACUAAAGUGCUGAGACACCCAGGGAUCCCCCAACUUCAUCCUUUUGUAUGUGGAUAUCCACUUGUCCCAGAACCAUCUGUUACAAAGACUACUCUUUCCCUCAUCAGAUUGAAUACGCUUGUCAAAAUCAAUUGACCAUAAAUUGACAUCUACAUAUGAAUGUAUUUUCUCAUCAAAGGAGUCAUUUAUUCGUAGCCAUGUAAGCUAAGUUUUAAAAAAGUUAAAAAUAGACCUGCCCUACAACCCAGCAAUUGCACUGUUGGGGAUUUACCCCAAAGAUACAGCAGCAAUGAAACGCCGGGACACCUGCACCCCGAUGUUUCUAGCAGCAAUGUCCACAAUAGCCAAACUGUGGAAGGAGCCUCGGUGUCCAUCGAAAGAUGAAUGGAUAAAGAAGAUGUGGUCUAUGUAUACAAUGGAAUAUUCCUCAGCCAUUAGAAACGACAAAUACCCACCAUUUGCUUCGAGGUGGAUGGAACUGGAGGGUAUUAUGCUGAGUGAAGUAAGUCAAUCAGAGAAGGACAAACAUUAUAUGGUCUCAUUCAUUUGGGGAAUAUAAAUAAUAGUGAAAGGCAAUAGAAGGGA